ensembl:lncRNA
CUCUCUCUCUCUCUCUCUCUCUCUCUCUCUCUCUCUCUCUCUCUCUCUCUCUCUCUCUCUCUCUCUCUCUCUCUCUCUCUCUCUCUCUCUCUCUCUCUCUCUCUCUCUCUCUCUCUCUCUCUCUCUCUCUCUCUCUCUCUCUCUCUCUCUCUCUCUCUCUCUCUCUCUCUCUCUCUCUCUCUCUCUCUCUCUCUCUCUCUCUCUCUCUCUCUCUCUCUCUCUCUCUCUCUCUCUCUCUCUCUCUCUCUCUCUCUCUCUCUCUCUCUCUCUCUCUCUCUCUCUCUCUCUCUCUCUCUCUCUCUCUCUCUCUCUCUCUCUCUCUUUUUAUGUAAGGAUUCUAAGAUUAUUUGUACCAAGAAUAAUAAUAUAAAAUUUAAUAAAAUUUUAAUUAAGUGCAGUUUAAUGCACUUGACUAAUUUGCUUAAUUUUGAAAUGAUAAUGUUUCAUUCUGUUUUGACUUGCCAUUUCAAAGACUACAUAUUAACAAUACUACACUUCGUUAAAAAUGUAUGUGAUCAUUUAACCAUUAUCAUGCAUCUUGUUUAUCAUGGGUCACAUAAUAUGCUGCCAGAUCAUAGCCUGAUUUGGGCCACAUAUCACCUGACUGAUCUGGGCCACACUCCUCCCACCAACAAUCGGCCCUCAUAUUGUUUGCCGGAUCCCCGCCCUGCCGUCAUUGCCACACAUGGCCCAGCUCUGGCUGAAAGGGUACAUGCCAUUGCCGACAGGAGGCCAGCAGUGCCAGCUUGAGGCCACAUUUGGGCCAAGUCCGUUUGCUAUGUGGGUUGCGGCAAGAGGAUAGAUCUGAGCUAUUUCUAAUUAGGAGGACAUAAACCCAGCAACCAUUUCUCCUCUCUGAUUAACUGUUAAGUUCAUUUGUGAUUUUACCCCCUCCUACUAUCCUCUUUCUUUGUCUGUAACAAACAUACAGACACAAUCCCAAUUUCUCAUGUAGAUCUAUUUUCUCUUCUCGUCAGCUUCUUGCUUUCUCUCACAGGCUAACCAUUAAACAGGAUUAAAUGCUUGCAGAGAUUCUUGCCUUGUGUUAAAUGAUUG